AUUGAACGCUGGCGGCAGGCCUAACACAUGCAAGUCGAACGAGGGGCGGACGGGUGAGUAAAGUCUGGGAAACUGCCUGAUGGAGGGGGAUAACUACUGGAAACGGUCGCUAAUACCGCAUAACAUCAGCUGUGCCCAGAUGGGAUUAGCUUGGUGGUGGGGGAACGGCUCACCAAGGCGACGACCCCUAGCUGGUCUGAGAGGAUGACCAGCCACACGGGAACGGAGACACGGUCCAGACUCUUACGCGAGGCAGCAGUGGGGAAUAUUGCACAAUGGGCGCAAGCCUGAUGCAGCCAUGCCGAGUGUAUGAAGAAGGCCUUCGGGUUGUAAAGUACUUUCAGCGGGGAGGCGUUACCCGCAGAAGAAGCACCGGCUAACUCCGUGCCAGCAGCCGCGGUAAUAC
rnacentral:rRNA from 1 species